rnacentral:rRNA from 1 species
CAGCAGUAGCCACGGGAAUACGUAGGGGGCAAGCGUUAUCCGGAAUUACUGGGUGUAAAGGGAGCGUAGACGGUUAAACAAGUCUGAAGUGAAAUGCCGGGGCUCAACCCCGGAGCUGCUUUGGGAACUGUAGAACUGGAGUGUCGGAGGGGUAAGCGGAAUUCCCAGCGUAGCGGUGAAAUGCGUAGAUAUUGGGAGGAACACCGGCGGCGAAGGCGGCUUACUGGACGACAACUGACGUUGAGGCUCGAAGGCGUGGGUAGCAAACUGGGUUAGAUACCCCUGUAGUCCCUGUCUCUUAUAA